CUGAAGGUUUGGCCAUUUGCAGCAGCUGUGUUCUAGCUGUGAUUCCUCAGCUGGCUGUUUGACAAUUCCCUGCCUAUCACUUUUCAGAAACAAUUUACCAGUGGUGGUCCAGCAGAGAGGCAGCAGUGAUAGCUCCAAAACAAGGAAAAAAGACUCUGGGUUCAUUAACAAACUGUUCAGGUACCUCUGUUGCUAUUAUACCUAAUCACAUCUGCCUCUCCAUGUUUUAGUCUUCCUCUCUGCCAGUAAAAUAACUUGUGAAAACAUCUUUCUGUUUUCAUCUGAAGUGAUCUGUGCCUGUCUACUUCCCACAUUUUCC
rnacentral:lncRNA from 1 species